rnacentral:lncRNA from 1 species
GAGUAUCGUCCAGCUUGCCCGGUGGUCAAGGGUGUGUUUGGUUGAGGAACCAACUGUCAUGGAAUGGAAUGGUUCCAUUCCAGAGGAACGGGUCAGUUCCGUUCUUGUGUUUGGUACGAGUAAAAGGUAGAAUGGAAUGGUUCUGUUCUUGUGUUUGGUUCGGAAGCAUGGAAUGAAAGAUGGAAUAACAAAAAUUCAAAAUUUCGGCAACAUUUCAUUUGUAUUUAAAAAAAACAAUAUAACAGUAUAUAUUCACAAGCAUGAUAUAUGUAUUACAUCACAUAGAACACAAUUUCGUAAGAUGGCAAGUUCAUUCGCCAAAAAGUAUGGUUACAUUCUGAACAAUUGGCCCUCCUGAAGCGAGGUUAGCACUCUCUUGAUCGAAAUCAGGUGCAAAUCCAGGUGCUGGGCGACCCUGAAAAGAUGUAAAGAUGUACAGUUGUUAACAAAAUAGACUCGAGCACGCACAUACUAAGUUUGCUUCUUAUUGUUAUUUAACUCCCUCCUUUUGCUUGAUUGCUUCCAUGUAGCUAGUUUGAACAGCAUAGAACACCAAACUUUAAUCAGAAAACUAACGCGAGUGCCAUACAAGGAGGAGGGAGGAGGACAUCUUCACCUCUGCCGUUGAUGUAGCCCCGCUGCAACCCGUUGCAUGACUGCAGCCACGCAGCUGCUCGCCGGCUGCACGUGCUCCUCUUCUUCCCCUUUUUGUGAUGCAGAUCGACACAGAAAUAGAUACGUGAGCCGGCGACGACGCAGAUCCAGUGGAGGCACAUAACGAGACGAGGGGCAGGCGGCCUACCGGAGAGGGAGGGCCCAGACGAGGUGCGGCGGCGCACUAGACGGCGAGACGAGGGGGCGGUGUACCGGAGAGGGAGGGGCUGAGACGAGGGGGCGGCGGCGCACCAGACGGCGAGACAAGGGGUCGCGGGAGAGGAGAAAGAGAGAACGACCGGUUCCAUGUAAUUCCUUCGAUUUGGAGGUAUCACUUGGUUCCG